AAUAUUGAAAAAAGAAGUACUCUUCUAUUUGGCUUGAUAUGAGUAAUUGUAAACAAUAUUUUUAAAAUAUAAACAUAUAAGUGUAUUGCUCAUAUUAUUAAGUGCUUAUAUUUGAGAUGAAGAAAAAAUCUUCAUGGGAUAAGUAGUUCUAGGUGAUUAUUACUGGCAAUAAAAAUUUUAUACUUCUGGAUUUUUUAUCUUAUUUUAAUUGUUAUGAUACUUGAAAUCAUGAGGAAUAGUUUCUACUAACCAGAAAAACUAAACGAAAUAUGCUAUUUUUGAAUCAUUUAAAGAUUAUAAAGAUUACUGUAUCCAGCAGAUGUUUUUCGUUGGGGCUAUCAAAACCUGUCCGAUUUUUGGGCAACAGACGGUUUAGAAUUUAUUGUCAGAAAAACUGUGGAAAAACAAAAAAAAAAUUUCGGAUUUGGGGUUGCCAGUCUCCACGCGACAAACGACGUUCAUGUAAAGGCGCGUAUCGGAUGGUUAACAAAUUGCAGCUGACAUUCUGCGUGUUCCAAAAGUUUGGAGGUCCUGUUUCCACUAGCAGCGUCCUCUUCCUCGUUUUAUGAAACUUCAGAGGCACUAUCAUGUUGGGAUAGCAAAUACUGAUUUACCAUUUCAUCUGUAUCAAUUGUGUCAACUUCGGCUUUAUCAAAACAGUGCAUCACAGUUUCUUGGGUGCUGCCAUUAUUUAUAAUCCACAAAACUUAUACUAACAGAAAGGUGACGUCUUAACUUAAUGAUUACAUGGCGUGAUCGAGCUUAGGCGUGUUGGUUUUUUCAAAUCGCGUGCAGUAGUUCUUUAAAUGCGACCUUCCUAAACUGGAGGCAUUUGAAAUGUGGAUAUUAAGAAGAAUAGUACGAAUUUCAUGAACAGAUAGAGUCGCAAAUGAAGAAGUUUUACCCAAAUUGGUAACACAAAGAGACCAUAAACAACGAUACGAAUUCCAGAGAUUUAUUAUGCAGGGAAAGAGGGAUUUAGGACGACGAAGAAUAUAAUGGGUGCGAAAAUUAAGGUAGUGGUAUAACUGCGCAUCAAACCAAUUGUUUAGAGGAAUUGUGAAUAAAAUACAAAUAGUCCUGAUGGUCGUCCGAAGAUGGCACUUUAAGAAGAACAAUAUAUUUGGAAGAAAAUCGUUUUUUGUUAAAUUUAUUUUGGAAACCUGCUCUUAUUUAUAGUGAUGCAUAUUUUAACUAUAUUAUAAAUAUAUAAUUAUUUAGUUCUUGUUAUAAUAUCUCUAAAUAUAUAUUUAGGCGCUUCGCGCGUUGUAACAUAAUUCCA